GGCUCAUUUCUUUUUAAAAUUUGGCAGUUAAGUGAAGACGCCCACUAUUAGUGUUUUUAUUUGUUAUUAUGGCUUAAUUAAGAAAACGGAAGGUGAUUGGAUGGGACGUAUGUCCCACCAAGCAUGAAACUUGACUUUCACCGUCAAAGUGGCGAACAAAGGAGAUAAGAAAGGAGAAGACGAGCCAAGGAAGGCUACAAACACAGCCACAACGGAAAGAAUGAUGGAAGAGAAGAAAAAAAAAAAAAAAAAGAAGCUUUUUACAGGUAAGCACUUGACAGCCCAACCAAGGGGACAUGAAGAAGCUGCAAUGCCGAUGCAUGCUCCCCAUUGUCCCCAAUUCAACCUCUCCGUACCUGUAAAUCGUUUAAGAAAUUCCAUCAUCACCACUUUUAAUGUGCUUUAUAAUUUUAAAGUGCUUUAUAAAUUAUAUUAUUAUUUUUAUAAUUUUUUAUUAAUUUCCAUAAUUUUUAUAUUCUAUAAUAAUUUUUUCAAAGUUUUCCA